rnacentral:misc_RNA from 1 species
GAUGAAGAACGUAGCGAAAUGCGAUAAGUAGUGUGAAUUGCAGAAUUCAGUGAAUCAUCGAAUCUUUGAACGCACAUUGCGCCGUUUGGUAUUCCUUAGGGCAUGCCUGUUCGAGCGUCAUUUAAACCUUCAAGCUAAGCUUGGUGUUGGGUGACUGUCCGCUUCACUGCGGACUCGCCUCAAAAUUAUUGGCGGCCGGUACAUUGGCUUCGAGCGCAGCAGAAACGCGAACUCGGGCCCGUCGUAUUGGCUCCCAGAAGCUAUCUUCACAAUUUUGACCUCGGAUCAGGUAGGGAUACCCGCUGAACUUAAGCAUAUCAAUAAGCGGAGGA